rnacentral:rRNA from 1 species
UUUUUUUCUGUAGCAAUACAGGGAAAAGUCUAGCGGCGAACGGGUGCUUAACACGUGGGCAACCUGCCGAGAAGUGGGGGAUAGCUCGCCGAAAGGCGAAUUAAUACCGCAUGUGAUCAGAGUGGACAUCCAUUCGAAAUCAAAGUCGGGGCAACCUGACGCUUCUUGAGGGGCCCGCGGCCUAUCAGCUAGUUGGUGAGGUAACGGCCCACCAAGGCUUAGACGGGUAGCUGGUCUGAGAGGACGACCAGCCACACUGGGACUGAGACACGGCCCAGACACCUACGGGUGGCAGCAGUCGAGAAUUUUUCUCAAUGGGGGAAACCCUGAAGGAGCGACGCCGCGUGGAGGAUGAAGGUCUUCGGAUUGUAAACUCCUGUCAUUGGGGAACAAUGCGUAAAUAUUAACUGUAUUUGCGUUGAUAGUACCCGAAGAGGAAGAGACGGCUAACUCUGUGCCAGCAGCCGCGGUAAUACAGAGGUCUCAAGCGUUGUUCGGAUUCAUUGGGCGUAAAGGGUGCGUAGGCGGCGCGGUAAGUCGGGUGUGAAAUCUCGGAGCUUAACUCCGAAACUGCAUUCGAUACUGCCGCGCUUGAGGACUGGAGAGGAGACUGGAAUUUACGGUGUAGCGGUGAAAUGCGUAGAUAUCGUAAGGAAGACCAGUGGCGAAGGCGGGUCUCUGGACAGUUCCUGACGCUGAGGCACGAAGGCCAGGGGAGCAAACGGGAUUAGAUACCCCGGUAGUCCUGGCAGUAAACGGUGCACGUUUGGUGUGGGAGGAUUCGACCCCUUCUGCGCCGGAGCUAACGCG